GACAGAGGGUGCAAACGUUGUUCGGAAUUACUGGGCAUAAAGCGCACGUAGGUGGUCCACUAAGUCGAGUGUGAAAUCCCCCGGCUCAACCGGGGAAUGGCGCUCGAUACUGGUGGGCUAGAGGUCGGUAGGGGUGAGCGGAACUCCAGGUGGAGCGGUGAAAUGCGUAGAUAUCUGGAGGAACACCGGUGGCGAAAGCGGCUCACUGGAUCGAAUCUGACACUGAGGUGCGAAAGCUAGGGUAGCAAACGGG
rnacentral:rRNA from 1 species